CAGGGAGACAACAAAAUGUUUAAUAUUAUUAUUUUGUCACCUUAGGUCGAUCGGUAUCUCACGUUCUUAAUUUAUUAAGGAUUUCAUUUCCUAAGUUUUUCUAGGUCACACCCAUUAUUUUCCCUGGGCCAUUAGCUCAGGUGGUUAGAGCGCACCCCUGAUAAGGGUGAGGUCCCUGGUUCAAGUCCAGGAUGGCCCAUAUCUCUAUGUUGGGGGUAUAGCUCAGUUGGUAGAGCGCCUGCUUUGCAAGCAGGAUGUCAGCGGUUCGAGUCCGCUUACCUCCACUGAUUACCACCUCUUCCAUAAUUUGUAGAAAGGGAAUGUUUUGAGUCGUGACCAAAUUCUGAAAGAAUCUAGCUUCCUAAUGAAAUCAUUAAGAUGCUGGACUCAUUGAAUUAAUUUCAUUGUUUUCAGAGAACCUUGACAACUGCAUAGAUUAUUUUUUUAAAGACAAUAAGCAUCUUUAAUGAUGCAGAUUUAUUAUUUGUGCGAAUGCAUUAAUAACAAUUCUAUUAAGCUGAUGCUUCAAUUUUUGAAGUUAUU
rnacentral:tRNA from 1 species